rnacentral:rRNA from 1 species
UUAUCCUACGGGAGGCAGCAGUGGGGAAUAUUGCACAAUGGGGGAAACCCUGAUGCAGCGACGCCGCGUGAGCGAAGAAGUAUUUCGGUAUGUAAAGCUCUAUCAGCAGGGAAGAAAAAUGACGGUACCUGAGUAAGAAGCACCGGCUAAAUACGUGCCAGCAGCCGCGGUAAUACGUAUGGUGCAAGCGUUAUCCGGAUUUACUGGGUGUAAAGGGAGCGUAGACGGCAGCGCAAGUCUGGAGUGAAAUGCCGGGGCCCAACCCCGGAACUGCUUUGGAAACUGUGCAGCUGGAGUGCAGGCGG